rnacentral:rRNA from 1 species
GACGAACGCUGGCGGCGUGCUUAACACAUGCAAGUCGAACGGAAAGGCCCUGCUUUUGUGGGGUGCUCGAGUGGCGAACGGGUGAGUAACACGUGAGUAACCUGCCCUUGACUUUGGGAUAACUUCAGGAAACUGGGGCUAAUACCGGAUAGGAGCUCCUGCUGCAUGGUGGGGGUUGGAAAGUUUCGGCGGUUGGGGAUGGACUCGCGGCUUAUCAGCUUGUUGGUGGGGUAGUGGCUUACCAAGGCUUUGACGGGUAGCCGGCCUGAGAGGGUGACCGGCCACAUUGGGACUGAGAUACGGCCCAGACUCCUACGGGAGGCAGCAGUGGGGAAUAUUGCACAAGGGGCGGAAGCCUGAUGCAGCAACGCCGCGUGCGGGAUGACGGCCUUCGGGUUGUAAACCGCUUUCGCCUGUGACGAAGCGUGAGUGACGGUAAUGGUAAAGAAGCACCGGCUAACUACGUG